rnacentral:rRNA from 1 species
GAUGAACGCUAGCUACAGGCUUAACACAUGCAAGUCGAGGGGCAGCGCAGUGUAGCAAUACAUGGGCGGCGACCGGCGCACGGGUGCGUAACGCGUAUCCAACCUUCCCGUUACUCAGGGAUAGCCUUCCGAAAGGGAGAUUAAUACCUGAUGGUGUUCAAAUUCCGCAUGUUAUUUGAACUAAAGAUUUAUCGGUAACGGAUGGGGAUGCGUGACAUUAGGUAGAUGGCGGGGUAACGGCCCACCAUGCCCACGAUGGCUAGGGGUUCUGAAAGGAAGGUCACCCACACUGGAACUGAGACACGGUCCAGACUCCUACGGGAGUCAGCAGUGAGGAAUAUUGGUCAAUGGUCGGAAGACUGAACCAGCCAAGUAGCGUGAAGGAUGAAGGUUCUAUGGAUUGUAAACUUCUUUUAUACGGGAAUAAAACCACCUACGUGUAGGUGCUUGUAUGUACCGUAUGAAUAAGCAUCGGCUAACUCCGUGCCAGCCGCCGCGGUAAAAC